CACGUAGGGCGCAAGCGUUGUCCGGAAUUAUUGGGCGUAAAGAGCUCGUAGGCGGUCUGUUGCGUCCGCUGUGAAAACCCGGGGCUUGACCCCUGGCUUGCAGUGGAUACGGACAGACUAGAGGUAGGUAGGGGAGAAUGGAAUUCCCGGUGUAGCGGUGAAAUGCGCAGAUAUCGGGAGGAGCACCGGUGGCGAAGGCGGUUCUCUGGGCCUUACCUGACGCUGAGGAGCGAAAGCGUGGGGAGCGAACAGG
rnacentral:rRNA from 1 species